UUUAUCGCUAUUAGAUGAGCCUAUGUUAGAUUAGCUAGUUGGUGGGGUAAUGGCCUACCAAGGCAGUGAUCUAUAGCUGGUCUGAGAGGAUGAUCAGCCACACUGGAACUGAGACACGGUCCAGACUCCUACGGGAGGCAGCAGUGGGGAAUAUUGGACAAUGGGCGCAAGCCUGAUCCAGCUAUGCCGCGUGAGUGAGGAAGGCCUUAGGGUUGUAAAACUCUUUCAGUGGGGAAGAUAAUGACGGUACCCACAGAAGAAGUCCCGGCAAACUCCGUGCCAGCAGCCGCGGUAAUACGGAGGGGGCAAGCGUUGUUCGGAAUUAUUGGGCGUAAAGGGCAUGUAGGUGGUUUGGUUAGUUAAAGGUGAAAUGCCAGGGCUUAACCCUGGAGCUGCUUUUAAUACUGCCAGACUGGAGUCCGGGAGAGGAUAGCGGAAUUCCUAGUGUAGAG
rnacentral:rRNA from 1 species